UUGUGUGACACUGAGGUGAUGAGAGUGACAGCUUGUCGAUCGUGUUGCGUGAGAGUGACUUGGGUUGUUCUCAGACUCUGUGUGGUCUGGGUGUGUGGUCUCCAGCCGUCGGGCAGGGAGGAGAAUGGGAGAGCCCUGUAUGUGUGUGUGUGUGUGUGUGUGUGUGUGUGUGUGUAUGUGCGUGUGUGUGAGCGUGUAUGUGCUCUCAUGUUUACUUUAUCCAGAGUAAGGUCCAGGCUCUGCGUAGCCACGGCUUCGACUGGAGAGCUCUGCCUUCCGCCACUCAGCAGCCACGGCCUGAAAGAUAAACACACACUGCCACCACUCUGACAUUGCUCAUCUAAAAGAUCAUUUUUAUCCUUGUAUACUUAUGGUUCCUGAGAGACCUCAGGGUUAGGGGCUCUCAGGCUGGUGUGUACUCUCAGGAACUAUAUAGAGCAUAGAGUAAUUAUCUAACUGCUUUCCUUUACAUUAUUGAAUUAGACAGUAAAAGAAUUCCUCAACCGUACCUACACAAUGUACGCAAGGGACAUUUGCACUAUAAGCCUUUGUUUCUUUCUGGAAAUUGUAACUUUAAUUUCUAAUUAUUAUCCAUACACUCUAUGCAUAUGCACUAAAUUGUUGUGCACUUUACGGAUGACUUAUAUUUAAUUUAGGCCUGUGAAUUCUUGAACCCUGGUCCUUUUUUUACAGGUUAGACAUGCGCAAACAUUGGAUCACUAACUAGCGAUAGAAACACUGUUUAAUAAGUGUAUCUAACUGUGGUAAGAAAAGUUCAGUUUGCAUGGACUGACUUUGAAAUGGCAUGUUUUUGGAAGUGCAGGAUGCUUUUUAAGACAAUCAAAUUUGUAGAUGUAUUACAAAAUAAAAUGUCAUAUUCCUUAAAGGAAACCUUGUCAUCUUAAAUCUUUCAAUGCAGACCUCAUACAACCUCUAUCAUCUUCCCUGCACAUUCACAUUAAACCAGACAACUCUUCUCUCCUCUCCCACAGUGAUCUCAGGGGAAGGCUAUGUAAUGCAGCACUGCUGAGAACGCGCCAUGAAAAUAUAAAUACAACCUCGCAGCAUUUCAACCAUGUAAAUAAACAGGGCCACCCAAAUUUCCAAUUAGAGUUGGUGUGGAAGGCAGGAAAUGGAGCAGACAAGACGAGACCACACCCACUUCACUAUCCUGAACUCUCCAGGUCCAGGUCCAAGUCCAAGUCCAGGUCGAGGACAUGGAUGACUGGCAGUAAAGAAAGGAUUAACGCGAUUCACAAUCCAACUUGAGGCUAUUUUUGAACAUCUACCGCAAGCUCCAUACCUCUGAAGGAUCAGACUUACACAAGCUUCCACGAAAUUCAGAUAUGGUCAUGGAACAAAUGCAUGGAUCUAAUAUAAAUAACUAUGAAAUCACUCUAAUCUUGGUAAUACACCACAUUUUUCAUUUUCACAUUUCUCCACCUCAAGACAUUUUCAUUUUCUUCAUUUUGAGGAACUGGGCUUUACAACAGCUUACCUUAUCAUUCCCAUCAACCUUAUCAGGCCAUUCCUAUUUGGCUGAAAUGAGGCGUUCUCGCUGUCCUCCACGUCUUCUUGGAACAGCUAGGCACUGUGAUUACGCAGCAAAGCCCUGAGACCACCCAGGAGCUGGGGUCCAGUUGUGUGAGGCAGAGGCAGGGUCCUUGUUGGGAUAAGAAAGACAAGCCCUCUCUGAGGAGCGAUGGUGCUUUGAUAGCGCAGUGAAGUUUGCCUGAUAGUAGCGUGAUCAAAAGUAAGAUAGACCCGCCUGGCUCUCACACUGCUGAGCUCAUGUAGCCAUUGGGUCAAUCAGCAAACGUCACAGGUCUCAUUGGAUGAUAUAAACAGACAACAGAUUGCAAAAAAAGAUGCAGCAUGAAAAUCACUUUCGCCCCAAGGUGUGGCCACCACUUUUAAAACGUCUUUCAAUGACAUGCAGAGGACAGAGCUCAUGAAGAUCAAGUCAUUAGAAACAGUUUGAGGUGAUUAUUUUGCCGCAAGAUUAACAUACAUAUGUGGAAGUGUAUCCUGCUUAAUUGUUCCUGGAAGGCAUUGACAAAAAUACACAGAAACAGCAUCUUCAGAGCAAUCCUCCUCCCUCUGUUAUCCAGGAUUCAGUUUGAUUAGUCUGUGACUGCUGAGUCUAUUCCCUCACAGGCUGCUGUUGAGGAACCAGACAGUGUAAACAAAGGGCUUGGGAAAUCCUCUUUUGCUUUGACUUUGAGCAGCAGAACCUUUCUUUUCUAUUUUGACAACAUUGUGAAGUUUUUCAGGACACUAUAACACAUGUAUCUGAUAUUGCAUAAGGGCAUGCCCUCCUUAAGUACUGAGUGUGUCCAACAUAUCCUUAUUGUUAUGCAGAUGCAAUGAUUGACGACAGAAGUGGAACUGAAGUGUAAAUGACAUCUUAAAAACACUGGCUAUUUAUUUCUUCAAUGAGCAGACUGGAUGCCCUCUAUGACAGGGAUCUUUUUGUGUUUUGAAACCAUCAUGUUCUGCAAAAUGAUGCUCAUGUGGGCUAAUGAUGCCUUUGUGCCUUGGGGACUUUCCAUGCAAAAUUGAUAGCAAAGAAAUCCAUAUGCAUAAAAUGUGUAAUAAAAUAGGGUUGAUAGAGAGUGUUGUGGUGAGCUUAUGAAAGUCUUUCAGCAGAAUCCAACUGUCAAUCAAAAACCCUGAUUUUACCAUGUUGACAGUUAAACAUAUUCUUUAGUACUGUGGUUCUCAACUGGUCUCACUCUGGGACCCACAUUUUCCCAUGGUCCUGAAGUCGCAACCCACUUUAUUAGAAUUCAAACCAAGCAAAUUAAUUUUUUUAUAAUAAAAAAAAUCCUUGAAAGACUCAAAUCUUUAACACAAAUUCACCCGUUUUAUUGAGUAAAGUGCAUUUCAGAGCACAUGAACUGCGGAGGACAACUACUUAAGUUGCAUGUACAGAAAAUAUCAAAUAUCAAAUAAAUAUCAAAUUGCACAAAAUAAGCUAUUUUUCAAAAUAAAAGACAUGUCAAACAUCAGAUGCGCAUCAAAUAUUUACUUUUUUGACCAGCAGUUUGCUGGUCACUUUUGGGUUGGGACCCACCAGUUGAGAACCACUGCUUUGGUACAUAUUUUACGUCGGAAGCUGCCACAAGGGGGCGCUAAAGAUAGGCCAACCACCGAUUUUGUCGCUAAUUCUUAUUUUUCGGCACUUCCGUGUUACUAAUUAGCAAACCCCGGUCAUUGGUUGAAUACAGAUCCCGCCAAACCUGCGAUGUGACCCGUAUGAGAGACCUGUACGCCCAGGCCGCAGGUAUUUGGUUGACAUGCCAAGCUCAAGACGCCGUUUGGACUCACAAGCUCAGCCUGGAUUUGGCAAGUUUUAUUCUCAGUCUGGUGUGUCUAUAUGUGACACCUCUCUGUUAUUUGGACCUAAACCACAUUGACGGAUUUGGGAGUAAACAGCGUUUGGGGAUCUCAGUCAAACGAGAUGGAUAAUGAGUGGAUCACAACCUGGGUGACUAUCAGCGACCAAGGACGCCAAACCAGCUUGCGGAGAACUUCAGGGCGCACAAGAUUCAAGGAAUGAGCUUCAGACAGGUGAGUAACAACAACACCCAAACUAUGAGAGCAAUGCAACAAAGGGCUUUAUAUGUGCGCUUAAUGUGGUCAGAAGCUGUGGAGUUCAUCAUGUUUAUACAGUAUAUCCGUUUUCUGCUUAUGGCUGUUUAAUUUGUGCUGGCUUGGUGGUUGUUGCACCCGCCGCGGUGUCUUCUGAAAGAAAUAUGAUUUCUGGUUUUGAUAUUAGAUGCAGUGUUGCAGUGCUUUUUCCAUUGUUGUAAAGACUGAACCACAUUUGCUGACUUCUGCUUGGUGAUACUGGAAAUAUGAGGGAACUACAUGAGUAGAUUAAGAUUGAUCAUCUGUCAAAUAAAGGUUAACCCAUGUUUUAUUCUCACCAGGGAAAAGGAAACUAUGAGUCUGUGAGGGAAGGAGAGGUCAGUCAUAUUCCUCCUGAUAAUAGUGGGCCCAUAAGCAAGAUGGCUUCAGCUCAUAUUUGAGGUGAAUAGGCAGUACAUCAUCUGUAGUCAAGCAGAGUCCAUCAGGCCUCUCACUUGCUCUGCAGUGAUCCACAAUUUCAGGAUUUAGGCUGGCGGACAGCAAUCCAACUAUAGAAAAACACAAUAAGGCAGCAUUAAUUCGCCCCUGCAAUUACAUUCUUUGAGGUGUAAAAAAAUAAAAAGGACACUGUGAAUUUAACGCUAAUAUUGACCUUCCAUUAAAUGAGACUUAAAGCUUUCUGUCUUACUUAAAUGCUAAGAUCUUGGCAAGCCCUCUGGGGAAUGUAUUUUUAACUGCAGCGCUUUGGUUUUAACAACCUCGGUUACAACAACAUGGUGCAGGCCAGUACAGCAGGGAAACACCCUGGUGCUGGAUUAAAUGGCCUGCUGAACAUCAGUGGGAACAACAUCAAGGUGUAUUUGCCCUGAGAUUUUCAUUUGCUCUGUGAUAAUGGAGAUAACAGAUGAGCUGGUCUGUUAAUAGAAUAUGAAUGGAGCUCUUGUACAGUUUUCAUAUUGCUCGAGUGAUUUUGGUUGAUGUGAGUUUGCCUCAGAGCGAGGUUUGAGCAGCCAUGCUUGGAAAAUACUUCCAUUUUGAACCUGAUGCCAAAGUUUUUGAAUAUAUACACACAUUACAUCUAUUUUGACAUCACUUUUAUGCAACAUUUUUUAGAUUAUCUCAGAGUCACAAAUCAUGUCAGUUCUUCUGAAAAUUCGGUUGAAGUGUUUAAGGCAUGAUGUGUGGAAAUGGGUAAAAUUUGUGAUAUCUAGUGAUCAGAUUCCAGUUUACAAAUGCUCUCUUGCUCAACGAGAUGACAGAAGUUCCUGUGAUCCUUCAUUUAACAAUUGUAAACAACACAUUUCUUUCAUUGCACAGGGAAUUUAAAUUAAAUAUUCAAGCUGGGAAAUAAAAAAGAUCAUAGGGCAGGCCUUGUGUUAAACAUAUGUAUUUAAUAUAUCAUGCAGAAAUCUAUUGAAAUAGGACAUAGUUGUAUAAAAACUUGAUUUUGAGAGAUUUGAGAUUGUUUAUUCAAUCAAAUAUGCAUACAGUACAAUUUUAGACAAGAAAUUCCCUAUUAUUAAAGGAGUAGGUUGAAGCUACUUAGUUUAUAUGUACCUACCCUCAUUCCUUCCUAUUCGUUUACCCCUUACAUGUCUCUAGUUAAUCAGUGUGGCAUUUUUAAAUAUUUGACAGAGCAAGUCCAAAUAAUGCUAUCAUUUUUAUCACGAUAAUUGUUGUUAUUGCUUUUUUUUUUUUAAACUAUGUUUGCAUCUUACUGAAACUCUGCAUACUCUGUCUACCUGUAACACAGAGGACAGCUUCUUCUGUCCAGCAGGGGGCAUGGUUGAACACAUGGCUGUCAUCCUUUUAAGGACAAAUUUUACAUUGCCACAUUGUACAGUAUACUUUGUUAUUGGAAAAGGAAAUCUUCAAGACUUUCUUAGAUUACAUAUGCAAUGUACUGUCAGUGUACACAAAUGGGUGCAACAGACAGCAUGAGUGUGUGUAGGGUGAGCUCAUUGAUUUGAAUAAGCUGCUCCCUGACACAGUCUUGGCUGUGAGUGAGGGUCUAAGAAAAUGCUGCGCUUUGGCUUUCUGGAUCGGACAGUAUGAGACCUCUGAUCCGCCCUCUUUCUGACCUGCUGUGGCAUAAACAAAGCAUAUCAGCUCAUUAUUAAUGCCACUACCUCUUCCUGUGGGCAGUUCAUUUAUUACAGAUACGAUAAUCCAACAUGACUCAGCAUGCACAUUUUCAAAGUUUCCCUUAUUUCUUCCUUGAACAGUAGAGGAUUAUUUAUACUCUUACAGGAUACAAUUCAGGUCAAUCACACUUCUCUGAGCGACCUCAGCUGUUGGCAGAUGAAAAUGAAAGGAAACAUUUUGGCCAAGUGAGAAUUUGUAGACAUCAAAACAAAAAGAAAAGUCAGGCAAAUAAAUCAAGAAACAUACUUUGACUUUUUAACAUGAUACAAACUUUAUCUUUUGUGUGCAAUUGCUGCUUCCAA
rnacentral:lncRNA from 1 species